rnacentral:rRNA from 1 species
AUUGAACGCUGGCGGCAUGCCUUACACAUGCAAGUCGAACGGCAGCACGGGGGCAACCCUGGUGGCGAGUGGCGAACGGGUGAGUAAUGCAUCGGAACGUGUCCUCUUGUGGGGGAUAACCAGUCGAAAGAUUGGCUAAUACCGCAUGAGAUCGCAAGAUGAAAGCGGGGGCCCGCACGGCCUAGCGCGAGAGGAGCGGCCGAUGCCGGGUUUGCUAGUUGGGGGGGUAAAAGCCUCCCAAGGCGACAAACCGUAGCUGGUCUGAGAGGACGACCAGUCACACUGGGACUGAGACACGGCCCAGACGCCUACGGGAGGCAGCAGUGGGGAAUUUUUGACAAUGGGCGCAAGCCUGAUCCAGCCAUGCCGCGUGUGUGAAGAAGGCCUUCGGGUUGUAAAGCACUUUCGGACGGAACGAAAUCGCGCGGACGAACAUUCCGCGUGGAUGACGGUACCGUAAGAAGAAGCACCGGCUAACUACGUGCCAGCAGCCGCGGUAA